UCCGCCGCCACGCCCACAUUCGCCGUCCGGUUGUCCGAUCAGAGCUCCCAUCAGUUUUUUUAUAGAGUCUACAUAUUGGAGAUCCUGCCAACAAAGCUGCGUGGUCAGUUCACCCAUCCCUGCCCAUUCGGAUCUGUGCUCUGGUUCUCCAUCCUUCCACGUUGGCUCAAGAGGACUCGGUAGCAGCACCGGGAGAGCUUCACCGGCCAUGGAUUGACCAGAACGGAAGAAUGCUAUACUGAUCUGGAUGGAGAGCUCUGUUUU